AGACCCGAAACCCGGUGAUCUAGCCAUGGGCAGGUUGAAGGUUGGGUAACACUAACUGGAGGACCGAACCGACUAAUGUUGAAAAAUUAGCGGAUGACCUGUGGCUGGGGGUGAAAGGCCAAUCAAACCGGGAGAUAGCUGGUUCUCCCCGAAAGCUAUUUAGGUAGCGCCUCGUGAAUUCAUCUCCGGGGGUAGAGCACUGUUUCGGCUAGGGGGCCAUCCCGGCUUACCAACCCGAUGCAAACUGCGAAUACCGGAGAAUGUUAUCACGGGAGACACACGGCGGGUGCUAACGUCCGUCGUGAAGAGGGAAACAACCCAGACCGCCAGCUAAGGUCCCAAAGUCAUGGUUAAGUGGGAAACGAUGUGGGAAGGCCCAGACAGCCAGGAUGUUGGCUUAGAAGCAGCCAUCAUUUAAAGAAAGCGUAAUAGCUCACUGGUCGAGUCGGCCUGCGCGGAAGAUGUAACGGGGCUAAACCAUGCACCGAAGCUGCGGCAGCGAACGUAUCACCCAAGACAACUUUACGGAGUUGACGAUUGACGGAGCGAAGCGACGUCAAAGCGUUCAUUAAAGUCGAGUUGGCUUAGGGAUACGUUCGUUGGGUAGGGGAGCGUUCUGUAAGCCUGUGAAGGUGUGUCGUGAGGCAUGCUGGAGGUAUCAGAAGUGCGAAUGCUGACAUAAGUAACGAUAAAGCGGGUGAAAAGCCCGCUCGCCGGAAGACCAAGGGUUCCUGUCCAACGUUAAUCGGGGCAGGGUGAGUCGACCCCUAAGGCGAGGCCGAAAGGCGUAGUCGAUGGGAAACGGGUUAAUAUUCCCGUACUUGGUGUUACUGCGAAGGGGGGACGGAGAAGGCUAUGUUGGCCGGGCGACGGUUGUCCCGGUUUAAGCGUGUAGGUGUGUGUUCCAGGUAAAUCCGGUUCACUUUAACACUGAGGCGUGACGACGAGGCACUACGGUGCUGAAGCAACAAAUGCCCUGCUUCCAGGAAAAGCCUCUAAGCAUCAGGUAACACGAAA
rnacentral:rRNA from 3 species